CCUUGUACACACCGCCCGUCACACCAUGGGAGCCAGUUGUACCGGAAGCCGGUAAUCCAACCCGCAAGGGGGGUAGCCGUCCAUGGUAUGGCUGGUGACUGGGGUG
rnacentral:rRNA from 1 species